rnacentral:lncRNA from 1 species
AUGUGCCCCUUGAGGAUCUCUCUCCUUUCUCUCUUAUAUCUCUAUCCUAAUCUAUUUUAAAGUUUGAAUUUGAUUCAAACCUUUAAAAUCUGAAUUUGAUUCAAAUUGAAAGGACAAAUGGACAAGGGUAUGGGGUCUAUAAAUAAGGUUAGGAUGAGGGGAUGCCCAAAACUAUUAUUAGAUCCAUCCAUCUUCUCCUCUUGUUGCCACCCAACACCCUCCUCCUUUUUCUUGUUACUGCCCAAGAGGAAGAUCUAUCUUCCUCUCUUCUUCCUUCCUCUCCAAAGGGUUAUUCUUCCUAAUUUCUUGAGAAGACAAGAAGGAGAAUUCAGAUUCAGUUUGAAGGGAGAAAGAUCUAUAAGGGAGCUAGUAUCCUAGUGAUCUUUAGAUUCUUCUGAUGAAGAUCAACCUUGUGUGAAUACCUAUAAAGGUUAGACGUAUGUGCCGCUUCAAAGAACCUCAGAAGACAUCCAUGGAUUUCAAAUCGCAAUGAAAAUCUAUCCGCACAAAGAUAAUGAUCAAAUCUUUAAACAGAUUACAUCUUAAUAUUGUUUA